GUUCCCUCAGUUAACCAAAGAGCUGCUGCUAAUAUCUUUUCUGACUGUUUUUUAGCACUGUGCUCUGGAUUCAGUGCCAACAGGAAGGCAGAGCUAUUCCUGAUGGGUCCUGCACAGUUCGCACCCACAGCCUCCUGUACCACUGCUGGAGAGCUCUCGUAUCACUUAUCAUCACCUGACUUCAAAAGAAUUUCAAAAGAAUAAAAUCAUCUCAUCCUUUGAUUGCCAUAGUCCUACCACCUGGAGAGCCUCCUUCUUCCUCUUCAAUCAAAGUCUUGUGGAGCACUGCUGGAAAUUCAUGUGCUGUGUCUGAAGCUGAGCUGGGUCAGCAGCCACACUGAACCAGGAGGCAUAAAGGCACAGGGCUGGGAAGAAACCUGGGAGAUAGCAUCUGGACAAGAUGGACUGUGCGACAUCCACACCAUCCCAGGGGCAGUAAUAGGAGAGAGCAUCCUUCCAGCUCAUCUGCAUACCAUUAGGAAGGCUCGUCUGCAUACCAUUAGGAAGGUGCUCAAACAGAGCAGGAUGCAUGAAGGCCAGCUGACCCAGAGCUCACCUCCCAGGUUCCCUCUUUGCACAAAUCCACCAACCCUUCCACUCGGUCUGGAAUAGCAAGGACAGAAUGGAGAGAGGCUAUUUCCUCUUUAUGUGUGUAACAAAAGUACAUUUUGGGCACACGUACAGUAAAAGCAAUUACAAAUCUGACAAACCAGACCAUUGAAAAAUUAUGAAGAUUAUGAGAUGAAUUAUUGCUUUAUCCCUCAGCCCCCCUCAACUCUUUGUGCUAGGAGGAUGACAUCAUCGAUUGAAAGAAUAAUUGGUUCUCCAGAUGCUUGAAUGAUACCAAGGGUUCUUUCUUCUCAUAUUAAUGUUCUUUACCUGCAUCACUUUGCCUAUUUCAGAUGUGCACAGGUAAUAAAACACAUGCUUGAAAAU
rnacentral:lncRNA from 7 species